rnacentral:rRNA from 1 species
GACGAACGCUGGCGGCGUGCCUAAUACAUGCAAGUUGAGCGCUGAAGGUUGGUACUUGUACCAACUGGAUGAGCAGCGAACGGGUGAGUAACGCGUGGGGAAUCUGCCUUUGAGCGGGGGACAACAUUUGGAAACGAAUGCUAAUACCGCAUAAAAACUUUAAACACAAGUUUUAAGUUUGAAAGAUGCAAUUGCAUCACUCAAAGAUGAUCCCGCGUUGUAUUAGCUAGUUGGUGAGGUAAAGGCUCACCAAGGCGAUGAUACAUAGCCGACCUGGGAGGGUGAUCGGCCAAAUUGGGACUGAGACACGGCCCAAACCCCUACGGGAGGCAGCAGUAGGGAAUCCUCGGCAAAGGACGGAAGUCUGACCGAGCCAAGCCGCGGGAGUGAAGAAGGGUCUCGGAUCGUAAAACCCUGUUGGUAGGGAAGAACGUUGGUGAGAGUGGAAAGCUCAUCAAGUGACGGUAACUACCCAGAAAGGGACGGCUAACUACGUG